AUUUGAACAAACACAGCGGUGUUCGUGCAGUCCAGUAGCCGAUUUUAGUUCCAGGCACUCGAUGACCAAACACUGCUGGGCUUUCGUGAACAAAGAUGGCCGCCGCCAUGUGUUUGGUUAUACAAACGGCAGCCACUCAUAAAACCCAUUACUGUUCUGUUGUUACAAUGUUGCCGGUUCGUUAAUUGGAGACACACGCCUCCCUUGUGUGGUCUCACAUUCUUCAGUUCAUUCGUUUCACGAAUCAUAUUAAUCUAAUAUGAUUUGUGAAACAAGCAUAUAAAUGCUGCAGUCUUUAGAGUGUAUAAAACGCAUAUGAAUACUGUCUUUAACCCUCUGAAGUGGCUAGGUUUGCCACAAUGCUCCCCCAGAAUCACAAGCCGGCAUACACAGUCUUAUCCCAACGGAUCGGCUUGGGGAUGUCCGGAGGAGUACCCACAGAUCACUUUUCAAGUUCAG